rnacentral:rRNA from 1 species
GAUGAACGCUGGCGGCGUGCCUUAUACAUGCAAGUCGAGCGAACAGACGAGGAGCUUGCUCCUCUGACGUUAGCGGCGGACGGGUGAGUAACACGUGGAUAACCUACCUAUAAGACUGGGAUAACUUCGGGAAACCGGAGCUAAUACCGGAUAAUAUAUUGAACCGCAUGGUUCAAUAGUGAAAGACGGUUUUGCUGUCACUUAUAGAUGGAUCCGCGCCGCAUUAGCUAGUUGGUAAGGUAACGGCUUACCAAGGCAACGAUGCGUAGCCGACCUGAGAGGGUGAUCGGCCACACUGGAACUGAGACACGGUCCAGACGCCUACGGGAGGCAGCAGUAGGGAAUCUGCCGCAAUGGGCGAAAGCCUGACGGAGCAACGCCGCGUGAGUGAUGAAGGUCUUCGGAUCGUAAAACUCUGUUAUUAGGGAAGAACAAAUGUGUAAGUAACUAUGCACGUCUUGACGGUACCUAAUCAGAAAGCCACGGCUAACUACGUG